UGCCAGCAGCCGCGGUAAUACGAAUGGGGCAAGCGUUGUUCGGAAUCACUGGGCUUAAAGCGUGCGUAGGCGGAUUUGCAAGUCAGACGUGAAAUCCCGGGGCUCAACCCCGGAACUGCGUUUGAAACUGCAAGUCUAGAAACCGGUAGGGGUGAGUGGAAUUCCAAGUGUAGAGGUGAAAUUCGCAGAUAUUUGGAGGAACACCAGUGGCGUAGGCGACUCACUGGACCGGUAUUGACGCUGAGGUACGAAAGCGUGGGGAGCGAACGGGAUUAGAUA
rnacentral:rRNA from 1 species